rnacentral:rRNA from 1 species
UACGUAGGGGGCGAGCGUUGUCCGGAAUGACUGGGCGUAAAGGGCGUGUAGGCGGCCGAUUAAGUCCGGAGUGAAAGUCCUGCUUUCAAGGUGGGAAUUGCUUUGGAAACUGGUUGGCUUGAGUGCGGAAGAGGUAAGUGGAAUUCCCAGUGUAGCGGUGAAAUGCGUAGAGAUUGGGAGGAACACCAGUGGCGAAGGCGACUUACUGGGCCGUAACUGACGCUGAGGCGCGAAAGCGUGGGGAGCGAACAGGAUUAGAAACCCUAGUAGUCC